rfam:Hydrogenophilales bacterium RIFOXYA1_FTLL_63_33 rifoxya1_full_scaffold_16614, whole genome shotgun sequence.
CACCGAACAGGGCAAACCCGCCGCGAGGCAGGGACGCAAAGUUACCGGUCUCGCCAGCCAUAUCCGGCGGACGAGAUAGCGGGGCCGCCGGC